AGUAAAGUCAGCUAAUAUAAGCUUUCAGGCCCAUACCCUGAAGAUGUAGGUUAAACCCCUUCCUUUACUA
rnacentral:tRNA from 1 species